rnacentral:rRNA from 1 species
GUUUAUGACUAUACUCUCCUGAACAUUCCCCAUCAUAUCUGAUCUUGGAAACUAAGCAGGUUUGGACCUGGCUGGGAUAUGAAGGGAGACAGGACCAAAAUACUAGGGACUUGGCU